rnacentral:sRNA from 1 species
UGUACCUGAAGCCUGACGAGGAUGAGAACCUCCGGGGGCAAGAGGUUCGACCCGAGCGAAGCGAGAGAACGUUGCGCCAGCAACGGCCCGCAGGGCGAGCCACGCAGUGGCGAGUCAUCCUCUAUCACCGACCA